rnacentral:rRNA from 1 species
GUGAGGAAUUUUCCGCAAUGGGCGAAAGCCUGACGGAGCAAUGCCGCGUGAAGGAUGAAGGCCUAUGGGUUGUAAACUUCUUUUCUUAGAGAAGAAUAUUGACGGUAUCUGAGGAAUAAGCAUCGGCUAACUCUGUGCCAGCAGCCGCGGUAAGACAGAGGAUGCAAGCGUUAUCCGGAAUGAUUGGGCGUAAAGCGUCUGUAGGUGGCUUCAAAAGUCUCCUGUCAAAGAUCAGGGCUUAACCCUGGGCCGGCAGGAGAAACUCAGAGGCUAGAGUUUGGUAGGGGCAGAAGGAAUUCCCGGUGGAGCAGUGAAAUGCGGAGAGAUCGGGAGGAACACCAAAGGCGAAAGCACUCUGCUGGGCCACAACUGACACUGAGAGACGAAAGCGAGGGGAGCAAAAGGGAUUAGAAACCCCUGUAGUCC